rnacentral:rRNA from 1 species
AUACCCUAUUAUUUAUAAAUUAAUUUUAAAACCAGAUGAUUAAUUCAAAGAAUUUGGCGGUUGAUAAAACAAUUUAGAGGAACCUGUUCUAUAAUUGAUAAACCACGAUAAUUUCAACCUUUAUAAAUCUUAUAUACCUCUAUAAAAAGAAUAUUUCAUUAAGAAAUAUAUUCAAUUUUUUUUUGAAAGCAAAUUAGGUCAAGGUGUAGAUUAUAUAAAGGAAGAAAUGGGUUACUUUAAAAAUUUAUAAAAAUGAAGACAGUAAUAUAAGUUACUAAACAAAAAAGGAUUUAAUAGUAAUUUUAAUUAAUUUAAUAAAAUGAAAAUGAACUAAUCAAUGUACACAUC